rnacentral:SRP_RNA from 1 species
CAACAGAUUCUGUGCUACAGGCAUCCGCCCAACCCCGUCAGGCCCGGAAGGGAGCAGCGGUAAGUGGACAGCUUGUGAGACGCAGGCGAUUUGUUGGCU